GACUUGGUGUGGUUGUUGCUGGCCCUCUCGGGGGCAUGUGCACACCCACCAUCCUCAUCUCUCCACCUGUGCACCUCUUGUAGACCUGGAUAGACUUUCCGAGGCAACUCGGUCGGGAAGAUUGCUGCGCUCUGUGAGCCAGCUUUCUUUGCAUGUCCAGGCCUAUGUUUUUCAUAUACCCCUAUAGAAUGUAACAGAAUGUAUCAUUGGGCCUUGUGCCUAUAAACCUUAUACAACUUUCAGCAACGGAUCUCUUGGCUCUCGCAUCGAUGAAGAACGCAGCGAAAUGCGAUAAGUAAUGUGAAUUGCAGAAUUCAGUGAAUCAUCGAAUCUUUGAACGCACCUUGCGCUCCUUGGUAUUCCGAGGAGCAUGCCUGUUUGAGUGUCAUUAAAUUCUCAACCUUAUUAGCUUUUGUUGAUAAUGGAUUGGAUGUGGGGGUUUAUUUGCUGGCUUCUUCACAGAGAUYAGCUCCCCUUAAAUGCAUUAGCUGGUGCCCCGCGUGGACCAUCUAUUGGUGUGAUAAUUAUCUACGCCGUGGAUGUCUGCAAUCAUAUGGGUUUUGCACUGCUUCUAACCGUCUGUUCAUUCGGACAAUACAUGACAAUUUGACCUCAAAUCAGGUAGGACUACCCGCUGAACUUAAGCAUAUCAAUAAGCGGAGGAAAAGAAACUAACAAGGAUUCCCCUAGUAACUGCGAGUGAAGCGGGAAAAGCUCAAAUUUAAAAUCUGGCGGUCUCCGGCCGUCCGAGUUGUAAUCUARARAAGUGUUAUCCGCGCUGGACCGUGUACAAGUCUCC
rnacentral:rRNA from 1 species